AUUGAACGCUGGCGGCAUGCUUUACACAUGCAAGUCGAACGGUAACAGGCCGCAAGGUGCUGACGAGUGGCGAACGGGUGAGUAAUGCAUCGGAACGCGCCCAGUCGUGGGGGAUAACGCAGCGAAAGCUGCGCUAAUACCGCAUACGAUCUAUGGAUGAAAGCGGGGGACCGAAAGGCCUCGCGCGAUUGGAGCGGCCGAUGUCAGAUUAGGUAGUUGGUGGGGUAAAGGCCCACCAAGCCAACGAUCUGUAGCUGGUCUGAGAGGACGACCAGCCACACUGGGACUGAGACACGGCCUAGACUCCUACGGGAGGCAGCAGUGGGGAAUUUUGGACAAUGGGCGCAAGCCUGAUCCAGCAAUGCCGCGUGCAGGAAGAAUGCCUUCGGGUUGUAAACUGCUUUUGUACGGAACGAAAUGGUCCGGGUUAAUUCCCUGGGCUAAUGACGGUACCGUAAGAAUAAGCACCGGCUAACUACGUGCCAGCAGCCGCCGUAAUAC
rnacentral:rRNA from 1 species